rnacentral:rRNA from 1 species
UAGAGUUUGAUCCUGGCUCAGGAUGAACGCUAGCGACAGGCUUAACACAUGCAAGUCGAGGGGCAGCGGGGGUGAUGGCUUGCCAUCACCUGCCGGCGACCGGCGCACGGGUGAGUAACACGUAUGCAACCUGCCCGCCACAGGGGGAUAAGCGGAAGAAAUUCCGUCUAAUACCGCGUGACGCGGCACCGGGGCAUCCCGGUGCCGCCAAAGGGAUUACCGGUGGCGGAUGGGCAUGCGGCGCAUUAGCUAGUCGGCGGGGUAACGGCCCACCGAGGCGACGAUGCGUAGGGGUUCUGAGAGGAAGGUCCCCCACACUGGUACUGAGACACGGACCAGACUCCUACGGGAGGCAGCAGUGAGGAAUAUUGGUCAAUGGGCGCGAGCCUGAACCAGCCAAGUCGCGUGAGGGAUGACGGUCCUACGGAUUGUAAACCUCUUUUGCCGGGGAGCAAGCGUGCGUUCGUGAACGCGCGUCGAGAGUACCCGGAGAAAAAGCAUCGGCUAACUCCGUGCCAGCAGCCGCGGUAAUACGGAGGAUGCGAGCGUUAUCCGGAUUUAUUGGGUUUAAAGGGUGCGUAGGCGGGAUGCCAAGUCAGCGGUAAAAAAGCGGUGCUCAACGCCGUCGAGCCGUUGAAACUGGCGUUCUUGAGUGGGCGAGAAGUAUGCGGAAUGCGUGGUGUAGCGGUGAAAUGCAUAGAUAUCACGCAGAACUCCGAUUGCGAAGGCAGCAUACCGGCGCCCUACUGACGCUGAGGCACGAAAGCGUGGGUAUCGAACAGGAUUAGAUACCCUGGUAGUCCACGCAGUAAACGAUGAAUGCUAACUGUCCGGUGCGAGUGAGCGCUGGGCGGUACAGCGAAAGCGUUAAGCAUUC